rnacentral:lncRNA from 1 species
AGCUCCACCAUUUAUUCUAAAUAGAAUAGAGUACUGCUCUCUAGCUAAGACUCCAGAGACUGCCGAAACACAACUGACAGGCAGGUACUAAAACUCUUAAGAAAACUAUUAACUCUUGGCAAUACCGCAAUAGCAUGGUAAUGAUACAAAUGGCAAAGAAAUUGAUGGGUUAUAAAAACCUGAACUUAACUAAGAAAAGGGAGUUCUCAAUGUUGUAAUAAUCAGCAAUGAAUUUUAACCAUGUUGUGACCAUACUCUCUCAGUUGUGCUGCAUCCAUGUGCUUCAAUUCACCCUCCCUAACUAUGAAAAGAAAACCCAAAAGAUUAUACAUAAAAGCACAUUCGGCAAAUGUAAACUUUAAAGCAAUGAACAUACAUGCAAAGUGUAAUGCUUUUGAAGUGAUACAUUUUAACAUCAAACAAAGGCAAUUAAUAACACAUUAAAAGCGAAGCAUUUUGACAUCAAAGUAACCACAAUUUUAUUGAGUACUAUACCAUCCAUAACUCAGAGUUUGUUGAAGGCUACUCAUUUUUUACUUUUGACAAACCAAAGAAAAAAGCAUAUUGAUGAGCUACAACAAGGCCACUCAUUUUUCAUCAUUCAUGACAACACUAAAUCAAUGGAAAAGUAUGAGUUUGUUGAAGUCGUAAACUAUACAGUAGUACUUAUUCUCGUUAUGGUACUAGACAUAGAGUUUGUCUUGGAUUUAAUUGUACCUGGUUGAACAGGAUAAGUUUUAUGGCAAAGGAACGUUCAACUUAUACGUAAAAGCACACUAAAUAAACUUUUUCUUUCCAUAGCUAUACCUACUAUUACAAAUAAUUUUCAACUAGUAAGCUUUCUCAGAAGUCAUAACCUUCCAGAGGAAAGCAGCCUUAGAAUUAAAACUGCACUUGAGCUUGUAGGAAACAUAUUGACAAAGUUCUACCUCAUUAUUUAUUCCCUUGACUAACAUGAAAAUCCAACAGCCAUAUUUUAUUAUACUGAAAAUAAAAUAAAUGCUUAGGAGCUCAAACAGGGACAAACAUAAAUCUCACGCGACUGAAAAAAUGAAGUAAAUAUUUUUUUUUAUAAGAAGAGAGUAGUCUCCUAAUAAAACUAAGGACUACAACAGUUGUACUACAACAACUAUUACUAUUACGCCUCAAUUUUCAAGCUAGUGUGGUUAGAUAUAUGAAUUCUCACUAACCAUUUCGACUAUCAAAGAUAAAUAUAGAAUAUAAAUCCUUGCCAGGCAGAAUAUAAAGUACAAAGCUCCCACCCAAUUGCAAAAAUUAGAAUAUAGUUCCUGUAACUUCUUGCAUUUUAUUAAUCACUACGAGAAGUUGAAGUAUGAAGUAUGUCCCAACUACUACAAAUUUCUAAUAACAUGAGGUGAGUAAGGAUAAUAAUAUUGGAAAAAUGGCAGCAUAAGGUAACAACUAGUAUGGAAAGCUGGUCUCCUUUGGAAGCCUUCGCCGGAAGUUCCAGAAUGUUGUCUGUGAAUUUCUAUAACAAAGGAAAAGUCGGUCGAUGGUGUGAAAAUACUUCCUGAUGUCGAAUUCCAAAAACCAGCGAGAGGUUUGCUGUCUACUUCGCGAGCCUUCACUGCCCCGUUCUGUAACUUCCCUUCUUUCGUCCGUCCACGAGGCUGUAAAAAGAGAGAAAGGGGCGGCUAUCUAGCGGGAGUCGUUUCGGUUGUAUGCCACGAGGUAAGGGGCGCACAAACAAAGAAUGUCGUUGUGUGGGGAUGCGAUUCGCCAAGCUGGGGCAAAGAAAGCCGUCCGACCCUACCGAAGUACCAAAGGCUUUCGAGGCUUACACCUCCCUAUUAUAGGAGGGGCAAGUAUAUAUAGUCUUUCCCUAACCUUUCCCCCUAUUAAACCCAAUGGACUUGUUUUGUAGCAAAAAGAUGCAAGCACCUAUUUAUUGGGAACCCGAAGUUAUUGGUCGUGCAUUGGGUAUCUUAAUAGGAAAUGAAGCACUAUGCAAUAGUCAUAGCAACAUCUACAAUUUAUAAUCAUGACUUUUAUUCUUUAAUUUUUUUAUUUUGGUUGAUGAAUAUUGUCAUAGUUCAAUUUAUUCAACCAGCCUAAAGCUCAAAAGUCAAACUUUCAGUUGGUGUGGAAAAUGCCUCUUACUUGAGAGGAUCAGUUGAGUAACAGAGGAAGCUUACAUAAGACCUUGUUAAUAAAAAAAGAGAAUUAUCAAACAUAUGAUGUCACCAAUUAUAUAUAAAGAAAAGUUAAUUUAGAGAGGUGAGGUUUACCUCAUACAUAGACUAUUGCAUCUCCAAUCAUGUAGCUUCAAAUUUCUGCUAUACAUAGGCUUAUUUUAGUCCUUUUAUUUGCUUGCAGAGUUCAAUGGGAGAAUAAGUGUAUUUCAUCAAACAAUUGGCCUGCACUAUGCACAUAAGAAAAUACAGUAAAAAUAAUCUCACAAGUCACAUAUCAACAAUGAUUAUAUUUGUCUGUACAUAAGAAUAAGAUUAAAACAACAGAAAGAAUAUAAAAUUAUAAUGGUAAGAAUCAAAACAGGGAUUUGUUAUACCUUGUAGAGUUGUAGAAUAGUGAAGCAAAGAGCACUAAGUCUAUUGAUGACUUCACAAUGGUAAACUAUUGCUGACUUCACAAUGGUAAAAUAUUAAGUGGGAUCUGCAGCAUAUCAAUAAAAAACGCAAGGAAACAAAACCUGGACGAGUUAUGCUCAAUCAAUUCUUGGAAAAUAAACCCAGUGAAUAUUUUUCCACCUUUAAUUUCCCACUAGCAAAAUUAGGGUUUAACUGACGAAGUCUAUGGGCAGCGACAGAGAGAGAGAGAGAGAGAGAGUAGCGAGAGAUGAGUUGUAAUACCUGGGUUCUGGGGAUGGUGGCCUGCGAUAGGGAGACAGAGCGACAACGGUUGGGCAGCAGCGAUGAGAGCAGAGAAAUAUGAAAAAUGAGGUUGAGCAGCAACUAUUAUUUUAUGAAUUUUUACAGAGCAAAAAAAUGAAGGAAUAUCAAAAAGAAAAAGGAAUGGAGGGAAUUGGUCAUAGUUGGAUUAAGAAGAUCGCGGGAAACAUAAAGAUUUAAAAUUUUGAUUGGCUUUUAGUGGGGUUCUUUUACAACCCCUAUACAUAAACC